rnacentral:rRNA from 1 species
ACGGGAGGCAGCAGUGGGGAAUAUUGCACAAUGGGGGAAACCCUGAUGCAGCGACGCCGCGUGAGUGAAGAAGUAUUUCGGUAUGUAAAGCUCUAUCAGCAGGGAAGAAAAUGACGGUACCUGACUAAGAAGCCCCGGCUAACUACGUGCCAGCAGCCGCGGUAAUACGUAGGGGGCAAGCGUUAUCCGGAUUUACUGGGUGUAAAGGGAGCGUAGACGGCUGUGCAAGUCUGAAGUGAAAUGCCAGGGCUCAACCCUGGAACUGCUUUGGAAACUGCAUAGCUAGAGUGCAGGAGAGGUAAGUGGAAUUCCUAGUGUAGCGGUGAAAUGCGUAGAUAUUAGGAAGAACACCAGUGGCGAAGGCGAUCUACUGGACAGUAACUGACGCUGAGGCGCGAAAGCGUGGGGAGCAAACAGGAUUAGAUACCCUGGUA